rnacentral:rRNA from 1 species
UACGGGGGGGCAAGCGUUGUUCGGAAUUACUGGGCGUAGAGGGCGCGUAGGCGGCCUGCUAAGUCGGAUGUGAAAUCCCUCGGCUCAACCGAGGAACUGCAUCCGAUACUGGCGGGCUUGAAUCCGGGAGAGGGAUGUGGAAUUCCAGGUGUAGCGGUGAAAUGCGUAGAUAUCUGGAGGAACACCGGUGGCGAAGGCGGCAUCCUGGACCGGUAUUGACGCUGAGGCGCGAAAGCUAGGGGAGCAAACGGG